rnacentral:rRNA from 1 species
ACUGAACGCUGGCGGCAUGCCUUACACAUGCAAGUCGAACGGCAGCAUGGGUGCUUGCACCUGAUGGCGAGUGGCGAACGGGUGAGUAAUGCAUCGGAACGUACCCGGAAGUGGGGGAUAACGUAGCGAAAGUUACGCUAAUACCGCAUAUUCUGUGAGAAGGAAAGCGGGGGAUCGCAAGACCUCGCGCUUCCGGAGCGGCCGAUGUCGGAUUAGCUAGUUGGCGGGGUAAAGGCCCACCAAGGCAACGCUCCGUAGCGGGUCUGAGAGGAUGAUCCGCCACACUGGGACUGAGACACGGCCCAGACUCCUACGGGAGGCAGCAGUGGGGAAUUUUGGGCAAUGGGGGCAACCCUAAUCCAGCCAUGCCGCGUGAGUGAAGAAGGCCUUCGGGUUGUAAAGCUCUUUCGGCUGGGAAGAAAUCGCAUCUCCUAAUACGGGGUGUGGAUGACGGUACCAGCAUAAGAAGCACCGGCUAACUACGUACCAGCCGCCGCGGUAAUAC